CUGGGAAAGGAGCAUAGCUCAGUGGUACAGCUUCUGCUUUGCGUGCUGAUGGUCUCAGGUUCAAUCUCCAGCAUUUCCAGG